UGGGGAAUAUUGCACAAUGGGCGGAAGCCUGAUGCAGCGACGCCGCGUGAGGGAUGACGGCCUUCGGGUUGUAAACCUCUUUCAGCAGGGAAGAAGCGAAAGUGACGGUACCUGCAGAAGAAGCACCGGCUAACUACGUGCCAGCAGCCGCGGUAAUACGUAGGGUGCGAGCGUUGUCCGGAAUUAUUGGGCGUAAAGAGCUUGUAGGCGGUUUGUCGCGUCUGCUGUGAAAAUCCGGGGCUCAACUCCGGACUUGCAGUGGGUACGGGCAGACUAGAGUGUGGUAGGGGAGACUGGAAUUCCUGGUGUAGCGGUGGAAUGCGCAGAUAUCAGGAGGAACACCGAUGGCGAAGGCAGGUCUCUGGGCCACUACUGACGCUGAGAAGCGAAAGCAUGGGGAGCGAACA
rnacentral:rRNA from 1 species